rnacentral:rRNA from 1 species
CUGAAAUCAAGUGUGACGACCCCCUGAAUU